rnacentral:rRNA from 1 species
CUUUGCUGGGCGGAUUAGGUGGCGAACGGGUGAGUAAUACGUGAGUAACCUGCCCUUGACUCUGGGAUAAGCCUGGGAAACUGGGUCUAAUACUGGAUACUACCUCUUACCGCAUGGUGGGUGGUGGAAAGGGUUUUACUGGUUUUGGAUGGGCUCACGGCCUAUCAGCUUGUUGGUGGGGUAAUGGCUCACCAAGGCGACGACGGGUAGCCGGCCUGAGAGGGUGACCGGCCACACUGGGACUGAGACACGGCCCAGACUCCUACGGGAGGCAGCAGUGGGGAAUAUUGCACAAUGGGCGGAAGCCUGAUGCAGCGACGCCGCGUGAGGGAUGACGGCCUUCGGGUUGUAAACCUCUUUCAGUAGGGAAGAAGCGAGAGUGACGGUACCUGCAGAAGAAGCGCCGGCUAACUACGUGCCAGCAGCCGCGGUAAUACGUAGGGCGCAAGCGUUGUCCGGAAUUAUUGGGCGUAAAGAGCUCGUAGGCGGUUUGUCGCGUCUGCUGUGNAAGCCCGGGGCUCAACCCCGGNUCUGCAGUGGGUACGGGCAGACUAGAGUGCAUUAGGGGAGACUGGAAAUUCCUGGUGUAGCGGUGAAAUGCGCAGAUAUCAGGGAGGAACACCGAUGGCGAA